GAUGAACGCUGGCGGCGUGCCUAAUACAUGCAAGUCGAGCGAACAGAUGAGGAGCUUGCUCCUCUGACGUUAGCGGCGGACGGGUGAGUAACACGUGGAUAACCUACCUAUAAGACUGGGAUAACUUCGGGAAACCGGAGCUAAUACCGGAUAAUAUAUUGAACCGCAUGGUUCAAUAGUGAAAGACGGUUUUGCUGUCACUUGUAGAUGGAUCCGCGCCGCAUUAGCUAGUUGGUAAGGUAACGGCUUACCAAGGCAACGAUGCGUAGCCGACCUGAGAGUGUGAUCGGCCACACUGGAACUGAGACACGGUCCAGACUCCUACGGGAGGCAGCAGUAGGGAAUCUUCCGCAAUGGGCGAAAGCCUGACGGAGCAACGCCGCGUGAGUGAUGAAGGUCUUCGGAUCGUAAAACUCUGUUAUUAGGGAAGAACAAAUGUGUAAGUAACUAUGCACGUCUUGACGGUACCUAAUCAGAAAGCCACGGCUAACUACGUG
rnacentral:rRNA from 1 species